rnacentral:rRNA from 1 species
GGGUUGUGAGGUUAAGCGACUAAGCGUACACGGUGGAUGCCUAGGCAGUCAGAGGCGAUGAAGGGCGUGCUAAUCUGCGAAAAGCGUCGGUAAGGUGAUAUGAACCGUUAUAACCGACGAUACCCGAAUGGGGAAACCCAGUGCAAUUCGUUGCACUAUUGCAUGGUGAAUACAUAGCCAUGCAAGGCGAACCGGGGGAACUGAAACAUCUAAGUACCCCGAGGAAAAGAAAUCAACCGAGAUUCCCCCAGUAGCGGCGAGCGAACGGGGAGGAGCCCAGAACCUGAAUCAGCAUAUGUGUUAGUGGAAGCGUCUGGAAAGUCGCACGGUACAGGGUGAUAGUCCCGUACACAAAAAUGCAUACGUUGUGAGUUCGAUGAGUAGGGCGGGACACGUGACAUCCUGUCUGAAUAUGGGGGACCAUCCUCCAAGGCUAAAUACUCCUGACUGACCGAUAGUGAACCAGUACCGUGAGGGAAAGGCGAAAAGAACCCCGGCGAGGGGAGUGAAAUAGAACCUGAAACCGUGUACGUACAAGCAGUGGGAGCACCUUCGUGGUGUGACUGCGUACCUUUUGUAUAAUGGGUCAGCGACUUAUAUUUUGUAGCAAGGUUAACCGAAUAGGGGAGCCGUAGGGAAACCGAGUCUUAACUGGGCGAAUAGUUGCAAGGUAUAGACCCGAAACCCGGUGAUCUAGCCAUGGGCAGGUUGAAGGUUGGGUAACACUAACUGGAGGACCGAACCGACUAAUGUUGAAAAAUUAGCGGAUGACUUGUGGCUGGGGGUGAAAGGCCAAUCAAACCGGGAGAUAGCUGGUUCUCCCCGAAAGCUAUUUAGGUAGCGCCUCGUGAACUCAUCUUCGGGGGUAGAGCACUGUUUCGGCUAGGGGGUCAUCCCGACUUACCAAACCGAUGCAAACUCCGAAUACCGAAGAAUGUUAUCACGGGAGACACACGGCGGGUGCUAACGUCCGUCGUGAAGAGGGAAACAACCCAGACCGCCAGCUAAGGUCCCAAAGUCAUGGUUAAGUGGGAAACGAUGUGGGAAGGCACAGACAGCCAGGAUGUUGGCUUAGAAGCAGCCAUCAUUUAAAGAAAGCGUAAUAGCUCACUGGUCGAGUCGGCCUGCGCGGAAGAUGUAACGGGGCUAAACCAUGCACCGAAGCUGCGGCAGCGACACUUAGGUGUUGUUGGGUAGGGGAGCGUUCUGUAAGCCGUUGAAGGUGACCUGUGAGGGUUGCUGGAGGUAUCAGAAGUGCGAAUGCUGACAUAAGUAACGAUAAUGCGGGUGAAAAACCCGCACGCCGGAAGACCAAGGGUUCCUGUCCAACGUUAAUCGGGGCAGGGUGAGUCGACCCCUAAGGCGAGGCUGAAAAGCGUAGUCGAUGGGAAACAGGUUAAUAUUCCUGUACUUGGUGUUACUGCGAAGGGGGGACGGAGAAGGCUAGGCUAGCCGGGCGACGGUUGUCCCGGUUUAAGCAUGUAGGCGGAGCGACUUGGUAAAUCCGGUUGCUUAUCAACGCUGAGGUGUGAUGACGAGCCACUACGGUGGUGAAGUAGUUGAUGCCAAGCUUCCAGGAAAAGCCUCUAAGCAUCAGGUAACAUUAAAUCGUACCCCAAACCGACACAGGUGGUCAGGUAGAGAAUACUCAGGCGCUUGAGAGAACUCGGGUGAAGGAACUAGGCAAAAUGGUGCCGUAACUUCGGGAGAAGGCACGCUGGCAUUAGGUAAAGGGACUUGCUCCCGGCGCCGAAGCCAGUCGCAGAUACCAGCUGGCUGCAACUGUUUAAUAAAAACACAGCACUGUGCAAACACGAAAGUGGACGUAUACGGUGUGACGCCUGCCCGGUGCUGGAAGGUUAAUUGAUGGGGUCAGCCGCAAGGCGAAGCUCUUGAUCGAAGCCCCAGUAAACGGCGGCCGUAACUAUAACGGUCCUAAGGUAGCGAAAUUCCUUGUCGGGUAAGUUCCGACCUGCACGAAUGGCGUAAUGAUGGCCAGGCUGUCUCCACCCGAGACUCAGUGAAAUUGAACUCGCUGUGAAGAUGCAGUGUACCCGCGGCAAGACGGAAAGACCCCGUGAACCUUUACUAUAGCUUGACACUGAACAUUGAGCCUUGAUGUGUAGGAUAGGUGGGAGGCAUCGAAGUGUGGACGCCAGUCUGCAUGGAGCCAACCUUGAAAUACCACCCUUUAAUGUUUGAUGUUCUAACUCGGCCCCAUAAUCUGGGGUGAGGACAGUGUCUGGUGGGUAGUUUGACUGGGGCGGUCUCCUCCCAAAGAGUAACGGAGGAGCACGAAGGUUAGCUAAUCACGGUCGGACAUCGUGAGGUUAGUGCAAAGGCAUAAGCUAGCUUGACUGCGAGAGUGACGGCUCGAGCAGGUACGAAAGUAGGUCUUAGUGAUCCGGUGGUUCUGAAUGGAAGGGCCAUCGCUCAACGGAUAAAAGGUACUCCGGGGAUAACAGGCUGAUACCGCCCAAGAGUUCAUAUCGACGGCGGUGUUUGGCACCUCGAUGUCGGCUCAUCACAUCCUGGGGCUGAAGUAGGUCCCAAGGGUAUGGCUGUUCGCCAUUUAAAGUGGUACGCGAGCUGGGUUUAGAACGUCGUGAGACAGUUCGGUCCCUAUCUGCCGUGGGCGUUGGAAGAUUGAGAGGGGCUGCUCCUAGUACGAGAGGACCGGAGUGGACGAAUCACUGGUGUUCGGGUUGUCAUGCCAAUGGCAUUGCCCGGUAGCUAAAUUCGGAAGAGAUAACCGCUGAAAGCAUCUAAGCGGGAAACUUGCCUCGAGAUGAGUCUUCCCUGGGGCUUUAAGCCCCCUGAAGGAACGUUAAAGACUAUGACGUUGAUAGGCUGGGUGUGUAAGUGCAGCGAUGCAUUGAGCUAACCAGUACUAAUGAUCCGUGAGGCUUAACCUUACAACACCAAAGGUGUUUUG